rnacentral:ncRNA from 1 species
UGACGUCAAGUCAUCAUGGCCCUUACGAGUAGGGCUACACACGUGCUACAAUGGCAUAUACAAAGGGCGGCAAGCUAGCGAUAGUGAGCGAAUCCCAUAAAGUAUGUCGUAGUCCGGAUUGGAGUCUGCAACUCGACUCCAUGAAGUCGGAAUCGCUAGUAAUCGCGGAUCAGAAUGCCGCGGUGAAUACGUUCCCGGGCCUUGUACACACCGCCCGUCACACCAUGGGAGUGGGUUGCAAAAGAAGUAGGUAGCUUAACCUUCGGGAGGGCGCUUACCACUUUGUGAUUCAUGACUGGGGUGAAGUCGUAACAAGGUAACCGUAGGGGAACCUGCGGUUGGAUCACCUCCUUA